UACGAAGGGGGCUAGCGUUGCUCGGAAUCACUGGGCGUAAAGGGUGCGUAGGCGGACUUGUAAGUCAGUGGUGAAAUCUCGGCGCUCAACGCCGAAACUGCCUUUGAUACUAUAAGUCUUGAGUUUGGUAGAGAUCCCGUGGAAUUCCUGGUGUAGCGGUGAAAUGCGCAGAUAUCAGGAGGAACACCGGUGGCGAAGGCGGG
rnacentral:rRNA from 1 species